CGGAUGUGGUUUAGUGGUAAAACCUCAGCCUUCCAAGCUGAUGAUACGGGUUCGAUUCCCGUCAUCCG
rnacentral:tRNA from 1 species